AUUGAACGCUGGCGGCAUGCCUUACACAUGCAAGUCGAACGGUAACAGGUCUUCGGAUGCUGACGAGUGGCGAACGGGUGAGUAAUACAUCGGAACGUGCCCGAUCGUGGGGGAUAACGAAGCGAAAGCUUUGCUAAUACCGCAUACGAUCUACGGAUGAAAGCAGGGGACCGCAAGGCCUUGCGCGAACGGAGCGGCCGAUGGCAGAUUAGGUAGUUGGUGGGAUAAAAGCUUACCAAGCCGACGAUCUGUAGCUGGUCUGAGAGGACGACCAGCAACACUGGGACUGAGACACGGCCCAGACUCCUACGGGAGGCAGCAGUGGGGAAUUUUGGACAAUGGGCGAAAGCCUGAUCCAGCCAUGCCGCGUGCAGGAUGAAGGCCUCCGGGUUGUAAACUGCUUUUGUACGGAACGAAAAGACUCUGGUUAAUACCUGGGGUCCAUGACGGUACCGUAAGAAUAAGCACCGGCUAACUACGUGCCAGCAGCCGCCGUAAAAC
rnacentral:rRNA from 1 species